rnacentral:rRNA from 1 species
ACGCCGCGUGAACGAUGAAGGCUUUCGGGUCGUAAAGUUCUGUCGUGACGGAAGAACAAGUGCCGCAGGCAAUGGCGGCACCUUGACGGUACCUUGCGAGAAAGCCACGGCUAACUACGUGCCAGCAGCCGCGGUAAUACGUAGGUGGCAAGCGUUGUCCGGAAUUAUUGGGCGUAAAGCGCGCGCAGGCGGCCUCUUAAGUCUGAUGUGAAAGCCCCCGGCUCAACCGGGGAGGGCCAUUGGAAACUGGGAGGCUUGAGUAUAGGAGAGAAGAGUGGAAUUCCACGUGUAGCGGUGAAAUGCGUAGAGAUGUGGAGGAACACCAGUGGCGAAGGCGACUCUUUGGCCUAUAACUGACGCUGAGGCGCGAAAGCGUGGGGAGCAAACAGGAUUAGAUACCCUGGUAGUCCACGUCGUAAACGAUGAGUGCUAGGUGUUGGAGGGUUUCCGCCCUUCAGUGCUGAAGCUAACGCAUUAAGCACUCCGCCUGGGGAGUACGGUCGCAAGGCUGAAACUCAAAUGAUUUGACGGGGAC